UGCCAGACUCCUACGGGAGGCAGCAGUGGGGAAUAUUGGGCAAUGGGCGCAAGCCUGACCCAGCAACGCCGCGUGAAGGAAGAAGGCUUUCGGGUUGUAAACUUCUUUUGUCAGGGACGAAGCAAGUGACGGUACCUGACGAAUAAGCCACGGCUAACUACGUGCCAGCAGCCGCGGUAUACGUAGGUGGCAAGCGUUAUCCGGAUUUACUGGGUGUAAAGGGCGUGUAGGCGGGGAAGCAAGUCAGAUGUGAAAACCACGGGCUCAACCUGUGGCCUGCAUUUGAAACUGUUUUUCUUGAGUGCUGGAGAGGCAAUCGGAAUUCCGUGUGUAGCGGUGAAAUGCGUAGAUAUUAGGAGGAACACCAGUGGCGAAGGCGACUUUCUGGACUGUACCUGACGCUGAGGCGCGAAAGCGUGGGUAGCGAACGGGAUUAGAUACCCGAGUACG
rnacentral:rRNA from 1 species